UGCAUAACUAUUGUAUGUAAAAUUAAAUGCAUAAUUAUUGUAUUUAAAAUUAAAUGCAUAAUUGAAUUCUAUGAAUCAUUCACUGCAUAGUUGUAUGAAUCAUUAAAUGCAUAAUUGUAUAAAUCAUUAACUGCAUCAUUGUAUAAAUCAUUAAAUAUAUAAUUGUAUGAAUCCUCCACUACAUAAUUAUAUGAAUCAUUCAAUGCAUAACCCUAUGAAAAUAUAUAUAUAUAAAAAUUAUAAGUAUACUAUAUUGUCAAACUUGCCUAUUUCAAUAAAGACAAUUGUGCUGAUCAUAUGCAUUUAUUUGUUGCUAGUAUCUAAGACGGUGGAAUGCCCCUUUACUACCUAGUAAUAUCCUAGUUAAUAGCUUGAUCUAUAUAUAUAUUAACUUGUAUAAAUCCACACUAUGUAUACCGAUUUUGUGAAAUUAAAUAUUUUGAAUGAUUUUCUUGUUUAUUCAUUAAAUAUGCUUUACAC
rnacentral:lncRNA from 1 species